rnacentral:rRNA from 1 species
AUUGAACGCUGGCGGCAGGCCUAACACAUGCAAGUCGAACGAGUGGCGGACGGGUGAGUAAUGUCUGGGAAACUGCCUGAUGGAGGGGGAUAACUACUGGAAACGGUAGCUAAUACCGCAUACCAUCGGAUGUGCCCAGAGGGGUUUAGCGAGUAGGUGGGGUAACGGCGCACCGAGGCGACGAUCCCUAGCUGGUAGGAGAGGAUGAGGAGCCACACUGGAACGGGGACCCGGUCCAGACUCCUUCGGGAGACAGCCUUGAGGAAUAUGGAAGAAUGGGCGCAAGCCUGAUGCAGACAUGCCGCGUGUAUGAAUAAGGCCUUCGGGUUGUAAAGUACAUUCUGCGGGGAGGCGUUACCCACAGAAGAAGCAACGGCUAACUCCGUGCCAGCAGCCGCGGUAAUAC